rnacentral:rRNA from 1 species
GACGAACGCUGGCGGCGUGCCUAAUACAUGCAAGUCGAACGCUUCUUUUUCACCGAACUUCGGUUCAUCGAAAAAGAGGAGUGGCGAACGGGUGAGUAACACGUGGGUAACCUGCCCAUCAGAAGGGGAUAACACUUGGAAACAGGUGCUAAUACCGUAUAAUGCUUUUUCUCGCAUGAGAGCAAGCUGAAAGGCGCUUUUGCGUCACUGAUGGAUGGACCCGCGGUGCAUUAGCUAGUUGGUGAGGUAACGGCUCACCAAGGCCACGAUGCAUAGCCGACCUGAGAGGGUGAUCGGCCACACUGGGACUGAGACACGGCCCAGACUCCUACGGGAGGCAGCAGUAGGGAAUCUUCGGCAAUGGACGAAAGUCUGACCGAGCAAACGCCGCGUGAGUGAAGAAAGGUUUUUCGGAUCGUAAAAACU